GAUUUCAACUGAAAAAGUCAUCAAUAAAAAAGUUGUAUAAAUCAUCAAUAUCUAUAACUUUUAUUUUGGUCAUUUCUUCAUCCGACAAAGUAAUAGUAACAUUAUUUACAAAAUUUACAUCUCUCUCUUAUAGUUUAUAAACUAUAUAAGAGAUAUGUAUAUUUUGUGAACAAUGUUAUAAUUCGCUUUGUCGGAUGAAGAAAUGACCCAAAUAAAAGUUAUAGAUCUUGAUGAGUUAUACCACUUUGUUAUUGAUGACUUUUUUAAUUGAAAUC
rnacentral:pre_miRNA from 1 species